GACGAACGCUGGCGGCGUGCUUAACACAUGCAAGUCGAACGGAAAGGCCCCUUUCGUGGGGUACUCGAGUGGCGAACGGGUGAGUAACACGCGAGUAACCCGCCCUCGUCUUUGGGAUAACUCCAGGAAACAGGGGCUAAUACCGGAUAGGAGCUCCUGUGGCAUGGUGGGGGUUGGAAAGUUUCGGCGGUUGGGGAUGGACUCGCGGCUUAUCAGCUUGUUGGUGGGGUAGUGGCUUACCAAGGCUUUGACGGGUAGCCGGCCUGAGAGGGUGACCGGCCACAUUGGGACUGAGAUACGGCCCAGACUCCUACGGGAGGCAGCAGUGGGGAAUAUUGCACAAUGGGCGGAAGCCUGAUGCAGCAACGCCGCGUGCGGGAUGACGGCCUUCGGGUUGUAAACCGCUUUCGCCUGUGACGAAGCGUGAGUGACGGUAAUGGGUAAAGAAGCACCGGCUAACUACGUG
rnacentral:rRNA from 1 species